rnacentral:tRNA from 1 species
GCUCGGAUGGUGGAAUUGGUAGACACGUUGGACUUAAAAUCCAAUGAUCAUUGCGAUCGUGCGGGUUCAAGUCCCGCUCCGAGUACUA